GACUUCGGAGAUCAUUACCGAGUGCCGGGCGCAAGCCCGUCUUCGCACACCCUCUGUCGACUCUCCGCAGUUGCUUCGGCGGCGUGCCCUCGCGGGCCCCGCCGGAGGACCAACCCAAACGCAUGGCAAACCGGUCUGUCCGAGGCUAUACGCGAAAUCAGUCAAAACUUUCAACAACGGAUCUCUUGGUUCGGGCAUCGAUGAAGAACGCAGCGAAAUGCGAUACGUAAUGUGAAUUGCAGAAUUCAGUGAAUCAUCGAAUCUUUGAACGCACAUUGCGCCCGUCGGCAUUCCGACGGGCACGCCUGUUCGAGCGUCAUUGCACCCGUCAAGCCUCGCUUGGUGUUGGGGG
rnacentral:misc_RNA from 1 species